rnacentral:rRNA from 1 species
UGGGGAAUAUUGCACAAUGGGGGAAACCCUGAUGCAGCGACGCCGCGUGAACGAAGAAGGUAUUCGUAUCGUAAAGUUCUGUCCUAUGGGAAGAUAAUGACAGUACCAUAGAAGAAAGCUCCGGCUAAAUACGUGCCAGCAGCCGCGGUAAUACGUAUGGAGCGAGCGUUGUCCGGAAUUAUUGGGCAUAAAGGGUACGCAGGCGGUUUAAUAAGUCGAAUGUUAAAGAUCGGGGCUCAACCCCGUAAAGCAUUGGAAACUGAUAAACUUGAGUAGUGGAGAGGAAAGUGGAAUUCCUAGUGUAGUGGUGAAAUACGUAGAUAUUAGGAGGAAUACCAGUAGCGAAGGCGACUUUCUGGACACAAACUGACGCUGAGGUACGAAAGCGUGGGGAGCAAACAGG